rnacentral:snRNA from 1 species
GGCAGUGAUGGGUGAUCUGGCUGCAGCAUAUAUCAUGUGAUGGAUCACCAGGAUUGAUUUGGUUGAUCUGACUGACCAGGUGGGUGUCCCCUUCUUCCCGCACCCCAUAUGCGUCCCUUUUGAAGUUGCACCCUCAGUCAAAGAGGACAGUUUUCCCUAAAUAGACACUGACUGAUUUUUUGGUAGAGGGCUUAGGAGUAGCUGUGCUUUCCUUCUGGAACUUUCAAACACCCCGUGCAAGAUUCAGGCAGCCUCUGACUAGACUGGUCUACCAUGGUUUAUACACAUUUUCCUCUUCCCAUAUCACAUAAGGAAGUACCUGAA